UAAAAGGGUCGGUUGGCUAAAUAUGCCACUCUCGCCCUCGAUGGCGAGUGCUGUAUGGCUAUCAAGACAUAUGGCCGACAUAAUUUGUGGAACUUUUUAGGGGGUUGGCUAGCCCGGCCGACCCUCCC